rnacentral:lncRNA from 7 species
AAGCUGCAACUAAUGCGUGAAAACGCCGCCGUAGCCGGAAUCAUAGCGCAAUCUCGUUCCCUCCUUCCUUUGAACCGGACUGCGGGAAUAAAUGCGGGCUGAGGACCCUCCUCACUUUUCCCCUCGACUCUUCCCUUUGCGUCGUCACCAGAAAGCUUGCGCGCGGCGAGAGAAAUUGCCGCCGCGGCCGUCGUCGACAAUCCCCACCUUGGUCGCCGUGGUUGACCUCAGUGUCGACCGGAAAAACUUUUGCGGGUCUUUACGGUGGUGUCCGAAGACCCGGAUUGGAGGAGGGGCUUAGGGCGACACCGAAAUUCCACGUCGGCGCUCGGUGUCCGCCGCUGCUCGUGGUCGGCCGCGACUACCUCACGAUAGCCGGUAAGAAAACUCUAGAUCAAUUCGC